CCAGGAGCAUGGCUGGGUAGCUACGUACGGAAGGGAUAAGCGCUGAAAGCAUCUAAGCGUGAAGCCCCCCUCAAGAUGAGAUUUCCCAACUAGUAAGACCCCUUGAAGACGACGAGGUAGAUAGGUUGGAGGUGGAAGUGCAGUAAUGCAUGGAGCUGACCAAUACUAAUCGGUCGAGGGCUUAUCCUAUAA
rnacentral:rRNA from 1 species